UAAUGCGGGUGAUCCUACUCCUCCUCCCAAAGGAUUGCCCCGGGGACAGCGGUUUUCCUCCUCCCAUAUCGCUGUUCAUCUUUUCAGAAAGCCUGCCGCACCUCCUCCCGCGGCAGGCUUUUUUG
rfam:Agrobacterium tumefaciens str. C58 linear chromosome, complete sequence.